UCUUAUGGAUGAGUGAAGGAAGUGGUUUCUUGAGAUGCAAUCUAUUCCUGUUGAAGAUGCUGUGAA
rnacentral:pre_miRNA from 1 species